GGCAACUGUAACCAUAAAGGACUGCCCAGAUGUCGACAUUCGUGAAACAAUCACUUUGCUUGAUGGAACAUCAGAGCUAUCAGAACAAGAGAAAGCGCGUGUUCAGAAUUUGGCCUUUGCAUGGGACCUUCCCAGAGUAACUGAAAAUAACCGAAGAUGGUUAUGUGAAAAAAUGCUUCUUCAUUCUGUCAUUGGACGCACCACCAGACAAGUGAAGCAACUGCGCAAGGGUCUAAAAGAGACUCAUCUCUGGCAUCUCAUGACAGAAAAACCUGAUGUGGUACCCUUAAUUUUUCCAAGGGAGAAGGAUGCCUCAUUGACUUCAGAGGCCAUUCUACGUGUAAUUACCUGGCCCAGUGCUACAGAUGACA